rnacentral:lncRNA from 1 species
CAAUCUUUCACCUGCCAAGAAAAGCUCUGCUUCCACACCAAAGCAGGACCUCGAGUUUCAAACUGAGGGGAUGACAGUCAGCAGCUUCCACCAAGACAAACCUGUGUCUGCUUUGCAGGAGCUUGUCAAGAAUCCUGGUGACUAAGGACUGGUUUGAAAAUAACCGGUAUUGUCCACGGGCUGAUCAUAGGAGUUGGUCUUUGAAUUUCACUCUUGUGGCCCAGGCUGGAGUGCAAUGGCGUGAUCUCAGCUCACUGCAACUUCUACCUCUCGGAUUCAAGUGAUUCUCCUGCCUCAGCCUCCCAGGUAGCUGGGUUUACAGUAUGUGAACUCUGCACAUACUGGCUCCCUUUCUGCUUCUGCCUGGAAGCAACCUGAAGCCUUCACCAGAAGUACACCAUGCUUCUUCUACAGCCCACAGAACCAAAAGCCAAAUAAACCUCAUGUAUAUAUCAUAUCAUUUGUGUUGCCAUAGAGGAAUACCUGAAGAUGUGUAAUUUAUAUAUUUGCGUAUAUAUAUAAAGA